AAAGUGUUUAUACCAGCGUUUGUUGAAUGUUGACGAACUGCAUUUAUUCUCACAAAUAAAUAAAACUUAAACAAUACCGUCCACGGCAGGUACCUAGGAAUGGGAUGAGGCACCGGACCCCAUUUCACUACGGUUUCAAUGAGGUUAAUUAAUAAGGAUUAUUAACCUGACGUGGGUUUCUUUUUUUUUAGACAAAUCGCAGGUUGCUGUGAUAAAUAUAACUGGCCAUGGAUUGGUCACGGUCGGACACGGAGAGACUACUAGCUGUGUUUGUGGGGUUUCUAAGUAUGAUUACAUCGGGAUCCACCUAUGCAUUUGGAGCUUUCACUAACGCCGUGAAGUCUCACUUUAACUACACACAGUCAGAAGUUGAGUUCCUCAGCUCUAUGCCAAACAUUGGGAUCUCGUUCGCUUUCCCUGCUGGCAUUAUUAUCGAGAAAUUUGGUCCUCGGUGGUCUACGCUUUGCGGCGCCAUCUUUUCUUCCCUCGGCUAUGGCUUGCUGUACAGUACAACAUUGCAGCAACAUUUCUACCACACGAAAGCCUGGCUCCAAUGCGUAUACUUCUUUAUCGCAGGCUUUGGAGCAACAUUUUUCUACAUGACACCGCUCGCAAUUAACAUGGGAAAUUUUCACCCUAAACACAGGGGUAAAGUAGUGGGGGUGAUGGAUGCUUCGUUCAGUGCUGGGCCCGCUAUUUUUGCUGCCAUUAUUUGUAAAAGGACACGUUAACGAUGAAGAAAAUCAAGAUUUAAAAGGCUUUUAUUUCCUCAACAUCAUCUGUUCAGUGGCUGUUGGUGCGCUAGCACUUAUCUUCAUAAAGCGCAUUUCCUAUGAGUUUGACCUGGAAGUGACAUGUAUUGUUGAUAAUGAUUUGAACAGCGAUCCUGUUUUACCGAAAUAUGAAAAUAUUUCCCAUAGAGAAAUAAGUGGUUUGAAACUUCUUAACAGAUUCGAUUUCCAUUAUUUGUCAUGGGCAUGUUUCAUUUGCGCAGGGUUACAGCUGAUGUUCCAAAACAAUCUUGGAACAUACCUGAAGUCUUACGGAUUUGAAAGCUACACGACGCUUUUUACUACUUUAAAUCCAAUCGCAGCCAUCUUCUCUAAAUUUUUCGCGGGAUUUCUAUCAGACGCCAUUGCGGAAUGGGUGCCAAGAUCUGUUGUCUUGCUCACAUUUAACCUUGCGCAGACUAUAGAUCUUGUCCUGUGUAUAUUCUUUGCUAAUAACUUUUCCCUUUUUUUAAUCACUGACAUCAUCAUAGGGUUCGCUAACGGCGCCGUCUGGUGCCUGACGCCGACUAUGAUCAGCGAGUUUUAUGGAAUGAACAAUUUUAGCCGAAACUGGGGCUUUAUAAUGCUUGGGAACGCUGUUUUGGGACUGGUUUACCAGGAGACCUUUGGCGUUCUUUACGAUGUUAACACCAAAGAAACCAACCAGUGCUAUGGCCUGCACUGUUUUACCUGGAGUUUUGUCAUCAUUGCUGUGUCCAGUUUUUGUGCUUCCAUUCUGAAUAUUGGAUUACUACAGAAAAAGAUAGACGAGAAAAAACACGACGGGGAAUUCCCUAAAGCAGAAUUGUGCUGUUUAUAAAUAAUCUAUUUAAAAUCUAAAAAAAAGUUGUUUAUUAGGGUAUAUGAUGUUACAUUUAUGUACGGUAAUAGAUUUAAGAUUUAUCC
rnacentral:misc_RNA from 1 species